UCGGAACGUGCCCAAUCGUGGGGGAUAACGUAGCGAAAGCUACGCUAAUACCGCAUACGAUCUACGGAUGAAAGCAGGGGAUCGCAAGACCUUGCGCGAAUGGAGCGGCCGAUGGCAGAUUAGGUAGUUGGUGAGGUAAAGGCUCACCAAGCCUUCGAUCUGUAGCUGGUCUGAGAGGACGACCAGCCACACUGGGACUGAGACACGGCCCAG
rnacentral:rRNA from 1 species